rnacentral:rRNA from 1 species
AUUGAACGCUGGCGGCAUGCCUAACACAUGCAAGUCGAGCGAGCGGCGGACGGGUGAGUAAUGUCUGGGAAACUGCCGGUUGGAGGGGGAUAACUACGGGAAACGGUAGCUAAUACCGCAUACCAUCAGAUGUGCGCAGGUGGGAUUAGAUAGUAGGUGGGGUAACGGCUCACCUAGGCGACGAUCCCUAGCUGGUCUGAGAGGAUGACCAGCCACACGGGGACUGAGACACGGUCCAGACUCCUACGGGAGGCAGCAGUGGGGAAUCUUGCACAAUGGUCGCAAGCCUGACGCAGCCAUGCCGCGUGUGUGAAGAAGGCCUUCGGGUUGUAAAGCACUUUCGGCGGAGAGGCGUUACCCACAGAGAAAGCACCGGCUAACUCCGUGCCAGCAGCCGCGGUAAUAC